rnacentral:rRNA from 1 species
GUGGGGAAUAUUGCACAAUGGGGGAAACCCUGAUGCAGCAACGCCGCGUGAAGGAAGACGGUUUUCGGAUUGUAAACUUCUGUUCUUAGUGAAGAAUAAUGACGGUAGCUAAGGAGCAAGCCACGGCUAACUACGUGCCAGCAGCCGCGGUAAUACGUAGGUGGCAAGCGUUGUCCGGAAUUACUGGGUGUAAAGGGAGCGUAGGCGGGAUGCCAAGUCAGCUGUGAAAACUAUGGGCUUAACCUGUAGACUGCAGUUGAAACUGGUAUUCUUGAGUGAAGUAGAGGUUGGCGGAAUUCCGAGUGUAGCGGUGAAAUGCGUAGAUAUUCGGAGGAACACCGGUGGCGAAGGCGGCCAACUGGGCUUUAACUGACGCUGAGGCUCGAAAGUGUGGGGAGCAAACAGGAUUAGAAACCCCAGUAGUCC